rnacentral:rRNA from 1 species
GAGGAUGCGAGCGUUAUCCGGAUUUAUUGGGUUUAAAGGGUGCGUAGGCGGCCUGUUAAGUCAGCGGUAAAAGCCCGGGGCUCAACCCCGGCGAGCCGUUGAAACUGGCUGGCUGGAGUUGGCGAGAGGUAUGCGGAAUGCGCGGUGUAGCGGUGAAAUGCUUAGAUAUCGCGCAGAACUCCGAUUGCGAAGGCAGCAUGCCGGCGCCACACUGACGCUGAGGCACGAAAGCGUGGGGAUCAAA